CUUAUCUUGGUAUGUUUGUGCCGCCAUACUGUCAGGCAAAAUUUCUCGGGGAAACUAGUCCGGUCUGAACGUUUGUAAGCCACGGUCUUUUUACCACAUUUACGCUGACAAACUGUGUAUGACUCCACACAACGGUGAACGAGCACCACGUGUAAUUGUGUGCACAUGUCACAUUGAUGGUUAACUGUCUGUCAAAAUAAACUUUCAAACGCUGA